rnacentral:lncRNA from 1 species
AAGCUGCUUUUGAUCGACUCUUCACCGUAAUGCGUUUCACACUUGCUAGCUGCUGCGCAGCGCAGCAUGUGACCAAAAUGUGUUCUGGGGGUCCAGGCUGUCCGUGAUCAUGGGAAAAUGUCUCGUCCGGUGAUCCAACUUCACAUGAGCACGAACGCCAAGCGAAAGCAUCCGCAGCGACCGCAACACUGACAUGUUCCUCUGUUCUCGCUGCGUGGCCAGAAACUCUGUGCCGGGAGUUGCUGCGUGUGUGAAGGAAGCCGCAGGUUGACGGAUGCUGACUGUUCCAAAGUGGGUUUAGUUGGGGCAAGACUGCCACUGAAUGUGGCAGUAGUCCUUCUAACCUUUUCGGCAGUGCGUGAAAUGCUUUCGGUCGAGAAUGCGAGAGACUUAGAACCUCCGAGGAGGUGCGGCACUGAGGUAAAAUACCAUCGGCGAUGCUGGGAAGAAAAGCCUGCCUAACUGCCUAAGGUUUUUUUGCAUCGGGUGCUCAAGCCUAUUGUUCCGAUUUUGUGUUUCUGUAUCAAACUCUGGAAUCGCGGGUGCUUUCCACCUCAGUGUGAUCACGGGAAUCAGAGGAGGGGAC